rnacentral:piRNA from 1 species
GGCCAAACACACCAUUCAUCACUGUGC